rnacentral:misc_RNA from 2 species
AACGCACAUUGCACCCUCUGGUAUUCCGGGGGGUAUGCCUGUUCGAGCGUCAUUUCAACCCUCAAGCUCAGCUUGGUAUUGGGUGUCACCAGACAAUGGUGCACCUCAAAAUUAGUGGCGGUGCCAUCUGGCUUCAAGCGUAGUAAUUCUUUCGCUUUGGAGGUUUGGAUGUGUGCUUGCCAUCAACCCCUAAUUUAUCAAAGGUUGACCUCGGAUCAGGUAGGGAUACCCGCUGAACUUAA